rnacentral:lncRNA from 1 species
GAAUGGAAUGUGGAGUUAGUGUGCAGAACAAAUGAAUCGCCAAUCUCACCUUUGAUGGGCUCUCACCUCCAGUGGGAACCGUGACCAGCAGGAGCCACUGUCACUUACUAUAUGGCCAUCGAGCGCCUACUGUGAUCUGCUGGGUCUCCUGUGAGCCCGGGAGGCACACUCAUGUCCACGGUUCUUUGAAACUGGUACCCGGGAGAUUUGCUGCUGGUGGGGCAUGCUGUCAGUCUUGGUGGGGAAGCCAGUGUCUUCCACAUCUGCUCUCUGCUAGCGGUUGUGUCAGUGUUUCUGUCCUGGAGUUUCCUAGCAAGCUGAGAAGAUAAGUAAACAUUCAGAGGAAAAUGUAUCUAGAAAAGACAAUCCGUUUAGUCUCAAAGCUGGUGCUGAGCCAAGUGAAGGGCUUCGGAGGACGCGCUCUCCUGAAGGAGUCUCAUGGAUUCUGGUGCUGCUGGCCGCAGUGUUGCUAAUGUCUUCGUUUGCUUCUUCUUCACUCUUACAGAGUUAUUGGAGACUGUAACCCUAGUACAUAAGCCAGUGUCAUUGCAACCCCGUGGGCUGAUCAAUAAAGGAAACUGGUGCUAC